UUUGGAAAACAAUCAAAAUGACCUGAUGUUGUUGUACAUGACAAUGAUCCAAAGGAAUUUCACACUAGUAGUGGAGCAUUUGAAAAUCAAACUUUGAGUGAUGAUAUUUUAGAUCCUUUAGAGGCAGAGGUGUUUGACACUACAUUGGAGAAAGCUCCUCAAACUAGAGGUUCAAAGAAACAAAGAAAAUCUAAGAAGGAUGCAAGGGUUGAAGAAGGAUAAAGAAAGAUCGUUGAAGGAAAGAUAUCUCACACCUCUAGAGGUGAAAGAGCAUCUUAAGAAAUUAUGGGAGAAUGAAUCUCAUAUCUGUUCACUUAUUUGGGAUAUACAACAAGAGAAGAGGAAAUCUUGGGGCAAAUCUUCAAGUUAUACAAUGUUCUUCUUGCAUGCUCUACUUGUGCCACCUAGCAAGUUUCAACCACCCAAUAGAAUGAAUAAUAUGGUAUGUGUUUAUCUAAGCAUAUAAUGUGGAUCAUAUUCUAUUUGUGAACAUUGUUCAUAGCCAACUACAUUGAUCAAUCUACAUUAAUAAUGGUUACAUUUAUUUAUUUUAGCAUUUGAUUCUUCUAUUUUUUUUAUAUAAUAUAUCUAUAAUUUUAUUGA